AUUGAACGCUGGCGGCGUGCCUUACACAUGCAAGUCGAACGGCAGCACGGGGCAACCUGGUGGCGAGCGGCGAACGGGUGAGCAAUGCAUCGGAACGUACCUUUCAGUGGGGGAUAACGUAGCGAAAGUUACGCUAAUACCGCAUAUUCUGUGAGCAGGAAAGCAGGGGAUCGCAAGACCUUGCGCUGAUUGAGCGGCCGAUGUCAGAUUAGCUAGUUGGUGAGGUAAAGGCUCACCAAGGCGACGAUCUGUAGCGGUUCUGAGAGGAUGAUCCGCCACAGUGGAACUGAGACACGGUCCAGACUCCUACGGGAGGCAGCAGUGGGGAAUUUUGGACAAUGGGGGCAACCCUGAUCCAGCCAUGCCGCGUGAGUGAAGAAGGCCUUCGGGUUGUAAAGCUCUUUCGGCCGGGAAGAAAUCGCACGGGCUAAUACCCUGUGUGGAUGACGGUACCGGAAUAAGAAGCACCGGCUAACUACGUGCCAGCCGCCGCCGUAAUAC
rnacentral:rRNA from 1 species